rnacentral:lncRNA from 1 species
UUUAAACAUCCUUUUGCUAGACUCCCUUAUCAGCAACUCCACGCCCUGCUCACCAAUGCCCGGCUGGAAAGGUCCCUACUUACUCCUGUGCACAUGCCUGGCAAGGCUGCUUGCUAAACAGCAUGGACAAGGGGACGUCUGUGCCCCUGCAUGUUGCCGGGCAGAGGAGGCUACGACCUUUUCCCGAAUGGCCAUUAGGUCCAAGAGCCACUGAACUUUCAUUCUGUGACCGAGGACAUUGUCUCAUCUUUCCAAGUCUCACUUGCCCUUUUGCCUGAUGUGGGGCUAAUAGAGAUUACCCUGGUGGCCUCCUGAAGUUGCUGUGCAGAUCUAGUGAGCUAAUGCAUGCGAGAGCACUUUGUGACUCCCAAAAGCCUGAAACCUGAUGGAGGAUGUGGUUGCUGUUGUUAUUGGGCAUUCUACUGGAAACGCGGGGAAAGAACAGCAACAUCUCCCGGUGAUAAGGGAGUGCUGUGCACAGACAUUGAGUGUGUUCUCUUUUGUGGGAUGGUGCCAUCUUCCACAGGUACAAGCACUGUCCACAUCCCACUGAGAGCAGCAGGGGCCACAGGAAGUCCGCUUGCUUUCAAUGAGCUUGGCAUGGCUCACUGCCGGCAUCGCGGCCACACUCCUGCUUCAGUGACUGCACCUACUCUGGGCAGCUCCCAAUGCAGGGCUGGGCCUGGGUUCACGGGGAAGCAGGGGCUGAGACAGAGGUGAUAACAUAGGAUGUGACUGUUUAAAUUCACCUGGCUUCGGUCAACAUUGACAGAAGGUGUACAUGACUCUACGGGAAUGGGGAAAUGGCAGCACCAGGGGCUGACUGAGCCCCAGUCCUGACUGUGACUGCUUUGGUAACAACAAGGUGUUUAGGAAGAACAGUCCCAGUCCUUUUCCAAAGGUCGCCUCCUGGUGUUUACUAAAGGAACUCUGAGUCUCAGCAGAAGCAGAAGUCCUACCAUUAGCUUGCAGAACCCUUCAGGAUGGGAAAGAAGACUUGGGCUUCAGUGACUCAGCCUGGAGCUGGGAACAGGCAGGCAGGGAUACAGAGUGGGUGUUCUUCUCCUACAGGAGGAGAGAUGCAUCCCUCAUGCCCAGAGAGGCUCUGGGGUCCCCGAAUCCAGAGGUAGUAGAAGAAGAGUCAAAACACACUCUCCUGAGAACACAUCUCAGGUGCAUGGAACACAAGACACGCUGCUUUGAUUAGGGUGCUCUCUUGUCCAUUUUGUUCUAUAAUCCACAAGAGAAGACCAUCUGCACAGCAGUGACAUGCUCUAGUUGACCAUGAUGAGCCUUUCCUAGGGAAACUAUUUUGAGUGGUAUAUCUUACAGGAGACUGCAAGGCUCAAUAGUACAGUCACCAGGAAAAUCUACAUGUAAAUAUGACACUUAUGAACCGGCAAUAAAAUAUGGUGAGUCUAAAGACCUUCCAUGUCAAAGUUCUUUUUCUUUUUUUUUUUUGACGGAGUUUCACUUUAGUUGCCCAGGCUGGAGUGCAGUGGUGUGAUCUUGGCUCACCACAACCUCCGCCUCUUGGGUUCAAGCCAUUCUCCUGCCUCAGCCUUCUGAGUAGCUGCAAUUACAGGCAUGUGCCACCACAUCUGGCUAAUUUUGUGUUUUUAGUAAAGAUGGGGUUUCUCCAUGUUGGUCAGGCUGGUCUUGAACUCCUGACCUCAGGUGAUCCACCCGCCUUGGC